AGGAAAGUAGGGGAUCGCAAGACCUUGCGCUCUUGGAGCGGCCGAUGUCUGAUUAGCUAGUUGGUGAGGUAAAGGCUUACCAAGGCGACGAUCAGUAGCUGGUCUGGGAGGACGACCAGCCACACUGGGACUGAGACACGGCCCAGACUCCUACGGGAGGUAGCAGUGGGGAAUUUUGGACAAUGGGGGAAACCCUGAUCCAGCCAUGCCGCGUGAGUGAAGAAGGCCUUCGGGUUGUAAAGCUCUUUCAGCCGGAACGAAACGGUCACGGCUAAUACCUGUGACUACUGACGGUACCGGAAGAAGAAGCACCGGCUAACUACGUGCCAGCAGCCGCGGUAAUACGUAGGGUGCAAGCGUUAAUCGGAAUUACUGGGCGUAAAGCGUGCGCAGGCGGUUUUGUAAGUCAGAUGUGAAAUCCCCGGGCUUAACCUGGGAACUGCGUUUGAAACUACAAAGCU
rnacentral:rRNA from 1 species